GCCCGCCUGGCGCAAUGGUGGCGCGCCAGACUUCUACGAAAUCUGGAGGCUGCGGGUUCGAGCCCCGCGGUGGGUU
rnacentral:tRNA from 1 species